AGUAGCGGCGAGUGAAGCGGCAAUAGCUCAAAUUUGAAAUCUGCCAACAGGCCGAGUUGUAAUUUGAAGAAAGCAAUUCUGGAUGUGUCUUUGCUCAAGUUCCUUGGAAUAGGACAUCAUGGAGGGUGAGAAUCCCGUGAUGCGAAGGUAGCACGUCUAUGUAGAAUGUUUUCGACGAGUCGAGUUGUUUGGGAAUGCAGCUCAAAGUGGGUGGUAAAUUCCAUCUAAAGCUAAAUAUUGGCGAGAGACCGAUAGCGAACAAGUACUGUGAAGGAAAGAUGAAAAGAACUUUGAAAAGAGAGUGAAAAAGUACGUGAAAUUGUUGAAAUGGAAGGGCUUGAGAUUAGACAUGGUGUUUAGUGUUCCACUUUCUUUUGGGAAUGUGUACUCGCUUUACACCGGGCCAGCAUCAGUUUUGAUGGGAGGAUAAAUGGUAUUGAAUGUGGCUGCUUGCAGUGUUAUAGCUUUAUCAAAUACUUCCAAUCGGGACUGAGGACCGCGCAUUUGCU
rnacentral:rRNA from 1 species